GAUGGGCUACUGGUAGAACAUGAGACUCUUAAUCUCAAGAUCAUGGGUUUGAGCCCCAUGUUGGGCA